rnacentral:lncRNA from 1 species
GACGCAGGAGUCCAUGCCAAUGCUCAGCGAGGGGAAGGCUGAGCCGGGGCCGGGCCUGGUGGACAGGCCCCCUUCCUGCACCGUCUCUUCCUGGCCCCCGACCAGACCCGAGGUAAGCGGGGGCUGCAGCGCGGGCCGCGUCAGUCCCUCCAGGAGUUUGAGCAGGGUCUCCUGGGGGACCUUGCAGCCUCAGCCCUUCAUGCCGGAGAAGCUCGUCAGCCGCCAGCUCGGGCUGAAGCCCAGUGUCUGGGGCUCGAACGGCCGGUAGUUGGAGAAACUCCGGCCGGCAGACCAGCCCGCCGGGCCCAAGGAACCUUCUGCGGCCACUAGCGCCGCCAUGGUUUCUCCGCUGGCGCCCGCCGCCGCCGCUUCCGCCAUCGCGCCGCUCGCCCGGGAGGCCGUGCGGACCAGAAGGCCCAGAUACCUGCAGAUGAGUCUCCCAGCCACAGCGGGCCAAGGUUACGCCAGGAGAUGAUCAACCACGCGAGCCGGACCGGAGGACUCGAGCCACGCUGCCUGUCGGAGCGCCGCGCGGCCUCUAUUUAUAUACAGCGUGAUUGACAGCUGCUCUAUCCAAUGACGAUUCCCGUACCGAGAGGCGGGCUUCCUUUACUCAAAAAGGUGUAUUACAAAUUAACCGUCUGCUUGCACAACCGGUCCCCGCGAGAUCAUCACGUGAACCCCUUGUAACCGGCCUGGAACGCAGAUCAGGAUGGACUCGAACUCGAGUCCAUCGAUCUGUCUCAGCUUUCCAAGUGCUGUUAUUACAGGUGGGAGCCACGUUACCCGUGCGUGUCUUGUCCCCUCCGCCCCCCUCCGCCCUGGGAACCUGGUCUUGGAGUUGGCUGGCAGAAGUCUGCUGUUUUUGGAAUCAUUUUACCAAAGAAUAAAUUACUUACGGAAGGAAGCUCUGGCACUGGGCUAGCCCCAAGGUCAGAACAGUCCUAGGGUCAUUUGACAGGACACAAAGCUAAUCUAGGCUAAGAAAAUACUUUAAGGGGAGGUUUAGGGGAAGAAAGGGGACAUCACAAAGUAAAUACUAUGAUUGCAUAAGCAAAUUGCACAAUUGAUGUUGUGAAGUUUCACAUGGACUUAAAAAUUCUGCACAGGUUUGGGUACUGUUUUGGCCAUUAUCUGGCAGCAGUGAGUUGCAUCUUCAGUGCAAGCUAAUUUAUUAUUUAUUUAUGGCUACUCUGUGCUAAGAUGUCUCUAUUUCUUGAAGUUAAUAUAUGUGAGAAUUCAGAUCCAGGCAGGGGGGUUUGCCAAUGUCUACUGAAAUUAUAAAUGCUAAACUCAUAGUAGUGGCUUUAUGCCUGUAAUUCCACCAUUUGAGAGACUGAGACUGUUAAUUCCAGGCCAGCCUGUACUACAUAGUACUACAUAGUGAGUUCCAGGCCAGCCUGUUCUACAGCUUGCAACCCUAAACCAAAUAAAUGAAUAGGUUUUUCCACUGUGUGAUCCCAGUACUUGGAAAACUGUGGUAAGAAGACAAUGAUGUCCAUUCUAGCCUGGGCUCCACAGUGAGAUCUUGUCUCAAAAAGCCUAAAAUAGGUGCUGGAGAGGUAGGUAGGUGGUUAAGAGCGCCUGCUGUUCUUGCAAAGGACCUGGGUUCAGUUCCUGGAACUUACAUGGUGGCUAUCAUCCGUAAUUCCAGUUUCCAGGGGACCUGAUGUCCCUCUUCUGGCUUCUGAGAGCACCAGGAACACACAGUUCCCUGUCAAACAUAUAGCCAAAACACUCCUACACAUACAAAAUAAAAGUAAAUGAAUCUUUG